AUACGUAGGGUGCAAGCGUUAAUCGGAAUUACUGGGCGUAAAGGGUGCGCAGGCGGUUCGGAAAGAAGGAUGUGAAAUCCCAGGGCUCAACCUUGGAAUGGCAUUCUUAACUACCGGGCUAGAGUGUGUCAGAGGGGGGUGGAAUUCCGCGUGUAGCAGUGAAAUGCGUAGAGAUGCGGAGGAACACCGAUGGCGAAGGCAGCCCCCUGGGAUAACACUGACGCUCAGGCACGAAAGCGUGGGUAGCAAACAGGAUUAGAUACCCUGGUAGUCCACGCCCUAAACGAUGUCAACUAGCUGUUGGGUUCUUCGGAGCUUGGUAGCGCAGCUAACGCGUGAAGUUGACCGCCUGGGGACUACGGUCGCAAGACUAAA
rnacentral:rRNA from 1 species